AGGUGAACAGCCUCUGGU
rnacentral:snRNA from 1 species